GAAACAGUUGCUAAGACAGGAUAGGAAAUUAAGAGGCAUCUUUUAAUUUUUAAAAGACCUUUUUCGAAAGGUAUACUUAAAGAGGGGCUUGCGCCACAUUAGUUAGUUGGUAAGGUAAAGGCUUACCAAGACGAUGAUGUGUAGCUGGACUGAGAGGUCGAACAGCCACAUUGGGACUGAGACACGGCCCAAACUCCUACGGGAGGCAGCAGUAAGGAAUUUUUGGCAAUGGAGGAAACUCUGACCGAGCGACGUCGCGUGAACAAUGAAGUACUUCGGUAUGUAAAGUUCUUUUAUUGAAAAAGAAAAAAUAGUGGAAAAACUAUCUUGACAUUAUUCAAUGAAUAAGCCCCGGCUAAUUAUGUGCCAGCAGCCGCGGUAAUACAUAAGGGGCGAGCGUUAUCCGGAAUUAUUGGGCGUAAAGGGUGCGUAGGCGGUUUGAUAAGUCUAUAGUUUAAAUGCAGUGCUUAACGCUGUAGCGCUAUAGAAACUGUCUGACUAGAGUUAGAUAGAGGCAAGCGGAAUUCCAUGUGUAGCGGUAAAAUGCGUAAAUAUAUGGAGGAACACCAGAGGCGUAGGCGGCUUGCUGGGUCUUAACUGACGCUGAGGCACGAAAGCGUGGGGAGCAAACAGGAUUAGAUACCCUGGUAGUCCACGCCGUAAACGAUGAGUACUAAGUGUCGGGUUUCGGCUCGGUACUGAAGUCAACACAUUAAGUACUCCGCCUGAGUAGUACGUACGCAAGUAUGAAACUUAAAGGAAUUGACGGGACCCCGCACAAGCGGUGGAUCAUGUUGUUUAAUUCGAAGAUACACGAAAAACCUUACCAGGUCUUGACAUAAUUUUGCGACAUUAUAGAAAUAUAAUGAAGGUUAUCAGAAUUACAGGUGGUGCAUGGUUGUCGUCAGCUCGUGUCGUGAGAUGUUAGGUUAAGUCCUAAAACGAGCGCAACCCUUGUCGUUAGUUGCGACCACGUAAUGGUGAGCACUUUAGCGAGACUGCCAAUGAAAAAUUGGAGGAAGGUGAGGAUUACGUCAAAUCAUCAUGCCCCUUAUGAUCUGGGCUACAAACGUGAUACAAUGGCUGUUACAAAGAGUAGCUACAACGCGAGUUUUUAGCCAAUCUCAAAAAAACAGUCUCAGUUCGGAUUGAAGUCUGCAACUCGACUUCAUGAAGUUGGAAUCGCUAGUAAUCGCGAAUCAGCAUGUCGCGGUGAAUACGUUCUCGGGGUUUGUACACACCGCCCGUCA
rnacentral:rRNA from 1 species